ensembl:lncRNA
ACUCAUCCCCACCGGAGAUCAGUCCAAUGAGGGUGGUGUCAUCCGCAAACUACAGGAGCUUGAUGGACUGGUGACUGGAGGCGCAGGUGUUGGUGUACAGGGAGAAGAGCAGAGUGGAGUGAACGCAGCCUCGGGGGGAACCGGUGCUGAGCUCCCAACUGGACAAGGACGUGUCAGUCAGCCAAAUAUCUGCCCUGCUCAAACACGGGACACACAGAUGAGGCCGUGUUGGGCUGGAGUUAAGGAGGUGAGUUUAGCAUGACAUGAAACUGAAAUGGCUUAUCUUUAAAAAUAAAAAUAUUUUGCCAGUAUUGAUAAUAGAAUAAUGUAGAAAUAAUAGAAUAGAAUUUGUGGAUUCAUGCCAGUGUUCUGAUUCUUUGUGUCACUGUUCUCCUAUAUUGUCCUGAUCUAUUCAUCCUUAAGUGGUGUCCAAUUUGCAGAUGUAUGUUUUGGUUUGAUUGUCAAAGCGGGAGUAAAAAAGUAUUAUGGAU